AAACGUACCUGGGAGGGGAGAAAAUCACUUGGUCAGGAAGGUGGUUUUCCCAGGGCGAGGCUUAUCUAUUGCACUUCGGCUGUGCUGACCCUUGUGAUUUCCCCAAACGUGGGAGGCUUGACUGCAUAACUUUUGAUAUUGGGGGACUGUGUUCACACUUUCCCCUG